rnacentral:lncRNA from 1 species
CGAGCUUCUACGAUGAACAGCCUCCACCAGUAGGGUCUCUACUCCGAACCUCUACUACAAGCAGUCUACUUCGAACUUCUACUGCAAGUGAUCUACUCCGAACUUCUACUAUGAGCGAUCUACUCUGAACUUCUACUACGAGCGGUCUAUUCCGAACUUCUACUAUGAGCGGUCUACUCUGGAUCUCUACUGUAAGUGAAUUCCAUUCGAGCUUCUACUCUAAACAAAUUCCUUUCAAACUUCUGUUAUAGGCAGACUUCAGCCGAGCUUCUUUAAUAAGCGGUCCCCAUCCAGACU